GGAGUCAGGAUUAGAACCCAGGUCCUUCUGGCUCUCAGGCCUGUGCUCUCUCCAUUAGGCCACGCUGCUUCUUUUGACCCUGGGCUUCCUGACUCCAAGGCCUAUGCUCUGUCCACUGAGCCACAUUUCCUACUCCAAGAUGGGAGUCAGCAGGGGAGCUUGGGAGCCGUUUGUUGUAGACUCUGCUGACCACUUUGACAACCGCUGCCUGAAGACUAACAGGCUCCUACUGGGUUUCAGAUUCCCUGUGAUGAAAGGAGGAGGAGGAGAAGUAGGUGGCCUAGUGGAAAGAAUCCAGGCCUGGGAGUCAGAAGACCAAGCUUCUAAUCCCUGCUCCGCCACUUUUCUGCUGUGUGAAUGUGGGCAAGUCGCUUAACUUCUUUAUGCCUCGAUUUCCUCAUCUUUUAAAUGGAGAUUAAAUACUUGUUCUCGCUCCUCUUUUGACUCUGAGUCCCAUGGAGGACAGUGACUUAAUAUAGUGCUUGAAAUAGGAAAUGCUUACCAAAUACCAUAAUUAUUAAGCUUCUUGUGGCCAGGGUACCUGUCUACCAAAUCUGUUGUAUUGCACUCUCCCAAGUGCUUAGUUAGUGCUCCAUACCCAG
rnacentral:lncRNA from 1 species